rnacentral:piRNA from 1 species
UAAUGUCGUUAGCUACGAACCACUGAGA